rnacentral:rRNA from 1 species
GACGAACGCUGGCGGCGUGCCUAAUACAUGCAAGUAGAACGCCGUUGCGCACGGGUGAGUAACGCGUAGGUAACCUGCCCUCCUUUUUGGGAUAAGCCUUGGAAACCGGGUCUCAUACCGGAUAUAGGGGGAUGGGCUCGCGGCCUAUCAGCUUGUUGGUGGGGUGAUGGCCUACCUAGGGGGCGACGGGUGGCCGGCCUGAGGGGGUGACCUGCCACAGUGGGACUGCCCUACGGCCCAGCGUGCUACGGGGGGCAGCAGUGGGGGAUAUUGCUCCAGCGGCGAGAGCCUUAUUCAGCGUCGCUGCGUGGAGGAUGAAGGCUUUCGGGUUGUAAACCUCUUUCGCUAUCGAACGGGUAGGUGGAGAGGAAGCGCCGGCUAACUACGUGCCAGCAGCCGCGGUAAUAC